rnacentral:rRNA from 1 species
UACGGAGGGCGCAAGCGUUGUUCGGAUUUAUUGGGCGUAAAGCGCGUGUAGGCGGUUUCUUAAGUCUGAUGUGAAAGCCCCGGGCUCAACCCGGGAAGUGCAUUGGAUACUGGGAGACUUGAAUACGGGAGAGGGUAGUGGAAUUCCUAGUGUAGGAGUGAAAUCCGUAGAUAUUAGGAGGAACACCGGUGGCGAAGGCGGCUACCUGGACCGAUAUUGACGCUGAGACGCGAAAGCGUGGGGAGCAAACAGG